rnacentral:tRNA from 1 species
GAGGGUGUAGCUCAAGUGGUAGAGCGCAUGCUUAGCAUGCAUGAGGUCCUGGGUUCAAUCCCCACUACCCACU